UCACACCUUGCGGUGGCAGUAUCCACAGAGUGCCCAGCCGAACUGAUGGCAACUGAGGACAAGGGUUGCGCUCGUUAUGGCACUUAAGCCGACACCUCACGGCACGAGCUGACGACAACCAUGCAGCACCUCCGCAGGAGUCCCGAAGGACCUCAACAUCUCUGUAUCGUUCUCCUGCAGUUCAAGCCCGGGUAAGGUUCCUCGCGUAUCAUCGAAUUAAACCACAUGUUCCUCCGCUUGUGCGGGCCCCCGUCAAUUCCUUUGAGUUUCACCGUUGCCGGCGUACUCCCCAGGUGGGAUGCUUAACGCUUUCGCUUGGCCACUCACCUAAAUAGGCGAACAGCGGGCAUCCAUCGUUUACUGUGCGGACUAC
rnacentral:misc_RNA from 1 species